rnacentral:tRNA from 1 species
GGAUUAGAGUAGAAGGUCUACGGUUUGAUUGCAGAUCGAAUUUUUUGAGGGGUUCGAUUCCUCCCUAAUCCU